UACAAUGAAUGGAGUAGCUACAACAAUACUUCCCAAUUUCUAAAUUAUAAUAAUAAGAAAGAAAAAAAAUCUUCAGACACUAAUCAAAGGUUUCAAACAUAAAAAACAAACAACAUAUUCAAGUGCUUUUCCUCUUACAUUCAUUCCUUCCACAUAAUCUCUCUCUCUCUCUCUCUCUCUGCAUAAUCAAUUGCACCCAUCAUCUUCCUUUACCCACGCCUGCUCAAUUUGUGGCGCAUGCUAUGCCUCAUUUUGCCUAUGUUUGAAUUUUCUGUAACACUCUCUGACUUCUCCACUAUCUCCUUUUUUAUAAUUCAAGUGCAAAAUUCACUCUUAUAAGUACUGUUCUUGAGUACUAAAGCUUCAAACUUUGACAAGGUUUUCUGUUUUUCUUCUGUUCAUCUUGAUGGGUCUGUUCCAAUUUCUCUCAAAAUUCAUUCUUUAAGUACACUUGAGAAUUAAAGCUUCAAACUUUUAUAGCUUUUUGUGUUUUUCUUCAUGUUUAUUUUAAUGGGUCUCUUCCAAUUUCUUUGCUUUAUAUGAAUUUCUCACCUCUCUGGGUUUUGAGCUUCCCAAAGGUGACACCUUUGGGGUUAUAUAAGUCUCAAAGUGAUUGAAUUUCAGCAGAAAAUUUUGAAGGAAAUUUGUAGCAGAUAUGGUUGCAGAACCUUGGAUUGUAAAGAUGGGUAACCAAGUAAGUUCAAAUCUCAAACAUGCUCUUCUUCUUGAAACUUUAACAAAGAAAAAACAAAGUCAAAAAAGGUUAGAAAACAAAGAAACUAUAGGGAUUCUUUCUUUUGAAGUAGCAAAUGUGAUGUCAAAAACCGUGCACCUUCACAAAUCACUUUCAGAGUCUGAGAUCUCAAAGCUUAAAAAUGAGAUCUUGAACACUGAGGGUGUUAGGAAUUUGGUUUCAUCUGAUGAGGGUUAUCUUCUUGAGCUUGCUUUAGCAGAGAAGCUUGAAGAGUUGAACCGUGUUGCUAGUGUUGUUUCUAGGUUAGGGAAGAAGUGUUGUGAGCCAGCUUUACAAGGGUUUGAGCAUGUUUAUGGUGACAUUGUUGGUGGUGUUAUAGAUGUGAAGGAAUUGGGGUUUUUAGUUAAGCAUAUGGAGGGAAUGGUGAGGAAAAUGGAUAGGUAUGUUAAUGUUACUAUGAAUUUGUAUAGUGAAAUGGAGGUUUUGAGUGAGUUGGAACAAGGUGUUAAGAAGUUUCAGAAUAAUCAGCAUGUGGAGAGUAAGAAAGCUUUUGAGCAGAAACUUAUAUGGCAGAAGCAAGAUGUGAGACAUCUUAAGGAUGUUUCUCUUUGGAAUCAAACUUUCGAUAAGGUUGUUGAGUUGUUGGCUAGGACGGUUUGUACUAUUUACGCUAGAAUUUCUUUGAUCUUCGGCGAAACCGCUUUGAGGAAGAAUAGUUUUGGAUCACCGGUUAUGCAGAAUGAAUGUGGGUUUGUUUCGGGUAAUCUUAACGUUCAGAUGAAUUCCGGGAGGUUGAAACGCAACACGAGCAAGAGAAACGGUUCGAUUGCAAAUGUGUCUGCGGUUGAGAGAAGGGGAACGUCUACUAGUAAGCCGCGGUAUGAAAUGAGGAGAGGCGAGUUUGCGUCUCUUGGGCCCGAAGAUUUUGGUUUUCCGUGUGGAACAAGUCCGGGGAGACUUUUUAUGGAGUGUCUAAGUUUGAGUAGCUCGGUUGGAAAAUUCGAUGAUACCGAUGAUGGUUAUGUUAUCAAUCAUGAGGAUCAAUACAGUCAUGUAUCGAGUAGUCACAGCGGUGUAAUUGCGAAUCAUAGCAUGAAAAGGGAGCAUUUGUUCCAUUCGGGUGUUCUAAGUCAUGUUCAAAGCAGCGUUUCGUUCACCGGAGAAUUACGACAAGCUAAAUCCGGUGUACAAAGUUGCUCAACAUUUAGUCCGAAAAGUAGGUUAGCUUUUUACGCUCCUCCUACGACUCUCGGAGGCUCGGCUCUUGCAUUACACUACGCCAAUGUCAUAAUUGUCAUAGAGAAGCUUCUUCGCUACCCACAUUUAGUCGGCGAGGAAGCCAGGGAUGAUUUAUACCAGAUGCUACCAACAAGCGUACGGCUAUCUCUUAAGUCGAAACUGAAGUCAUACGCCAAAGAUUUGGCGAUAUACGACGCGCCUCUUGCGCAUGACUGGAAGGAGAAUCUCGAUGGGAUACUUCGGUGGCUUGCACCUCUCGCGCAUAACAUGAUGAGAUGGCAGAGCGAGCGGAACUUCGAGCAGCAUCAGAUUGUUAGCCGGACAAACGUUCUGUUACUUCAGACGUUAUAUUUCGCCGACCGUGAAAAGACCGAGGAAUCGAUCUGCGACCUUCUUGUCGGGUUGAACUAUAUAUGCCGUUACGAACAACAGCAAAAUGCAUUGUUGGAUUGUGCAAGCAGUUUUGAUUUUGAAGAUUGUAUGGAAUGGCAAUUGCAAUGUGGAGCUUCUUUUCUCAAUUGAGUUUACACAAACUCUAAAUUUUGAAAAUCCUCAAUUUGAGGUAGAUGAAUCAGAUCUAGUGCGACAUGAUUCUUCUUCGUCGGAUUCAGAUAACAAGGAGAAGAAGAGUUCAUCAUCAUCGUCUUCUUCACUGAAGACUAAGGUUUAUUGGCUGUUUGAAGCUUAGAUCUAAAAUCAAUUCCUUAAUGGGUUGUCAAAAUCUGGUCGAGUUGACGGUGCACGGAAAUUGUUUGACAAAAUGCCUCAAAAGGAUAAUAUUCUUGGUACACCAUGGUAUCUGGCUAUGUUAAUGUGGGAAGACUAGUUGAAGCAAGAGAACUUUUUAAUGGGUUUUCAUGUAGUUAUUCCAUCACACGGUCCUCUCUUAUAUACCGGCAUUGUAAAUUUAAGUAUAAAAUUGAAGCUUUUGAUUUGUUUAGGUCAAUGAGAUUGGAGGGUCAUAAACCUACUCAGUUCACUUUAGGAAGUGCUCUAAGGGUGUGUUCAUCAUUGGGUUUGAUCCAACCAGGGGAAAUGGUUCAUGGAUAUGUUGUAAAGAAUGGAUUUGAAUCCAAUGUGUUUAUUGUUGUUGAACUUGUUGACAUGUACGAAAAAUGCAAGUGUAUUUUUGAAGCUGA